GUUGUGCGGCUGUACUUGUGGUUUCUUCUCUCUGAAGAAGUUCAGGGAAGACUGUUUAAUGUCCAUGCCGCAUCACAGGAUCCAUGGGCGGCUGUAGGGACGUUAAUAUCCAAAGUGUUAGAAGACGGUCUUUCAGACUGCCACCUUGUCUUGGGCGCAUCAUCGUUACCCGCACAUGUUCUCACGGGUAUUAUCAGACGGUGUUCCGAGUCCAACCUGCCCGCAGCGGUGCUCGUGGGGCAAACCGUGUCCAGGCGCAGUGCAGUGGCACUCGGGGAAAGAGUCUGGGCCACUCAGAGGGCACCAUGCCGAGCUCUUUUCCUUGACGUUACCAACGGUGCACAAGAGUCUCUAAGGUGAAGUUCUUUGCUUCAUAACUCAUAUUAAU